CGAAUAGCGUUGAUGAGAACCAGUAAUCAGAGUAGCAUAUCUGAAGAGAGCCAGUGGGUGGUGCAAACUGGCGAUAUCGUCUGAUGAAUCCAUCUCGGAGCAGGAUAUCGAAAUCUUAAAGGAGAAUAAAUAUCCUCGGUUUUAAAAGCCGUUAUCUUAUGAGGUGGUAGGCAUUUAUAUAAAAUGCCUAUAACUAGGGUGGCAACGCGGAUAAAACUUCCGUCCCUUUU
rnacentral:ncRNA from 1 species